AACGAACGCUGGCGGCAUGCCUAACACAUGCGAGUCGAACGAGACCUUCGGGUCUAGUGGCGCACGGGUGCGUAACGCGUGGGAACCUGCCCUUAGGUCCGGAAUAACUCCCCGGAAGGGGUGCUAAUACCGGAUAAUGUCUUCGGACCAAAGAUUUAUCGCCUUUGGAUGGGCCCGCGUUGGAUUAGCUAGUUGGUAGGGUAAAAGCCUACCAAGGCGACGAUCCAUAGCUGGUCUGAGAGGAUGAUCAGCCACACUGGGACUGAGACACGGCCCAGACUCCUACGGGAGGCAGCAGUGGGGAAUAUUGGACAAUGGGCGAAAGCCUGAUCCAGCAAUGCCGCGUGAGUGAUGAAGGCCUUAGGGUUGUAAAGCUCUUUUACCCGGGAUGAUAAUGACAGUACCGGGAGAAUAAGCUCCGGCUAACUCCGUG
rnacentral:rRNA from 1 species